AACCAAUGUUGUUACGGCAAUAUUGGGGUUGUAGGACCACGACAUCGCAAGACAUUUCAUGAGUAGAACCCUUUGGAAAAUGGGACCAUAGACGGUGAUAGUCCGGUAUUCGAAGCUAAACGAAGCGUAGUGGUAUCCUGAGUAGCGCGGGACACGAGGAAUCUUGCGUGAAUCUGCCGGGACCAUCCGGUAAGGCUAAAUACUCCCGAGAGACCGAUAGCGAACCAGUACUGUGAAGGAAAGGUGAAAAGCACUUCGAAUAGAAGAGUGAAAUAGUCCCUGAAACCGUGCGCCUACAAGCGGUCGGAGCUUUGUAAGAAGUGACGGCGUGCCUUUUGCAUAAUGAACCUACGAGUUACUUUUUCCGGCAAGGUUAAGUGUCUCAAGACAUGAAGCCGAAGCGAAAGCGAGUCUGAACAGGG
rnacentral:rRNA from 1 species